UCUGCAGCUAACUUCUCAAGAACGAGCAUCAUGAGGCCCCGGGAAAAUUCAAGCUGAAAGAAACAUGUAAGCAGGAGAGUAUCUCCAGCUCUAUAUCUGUUCCAGGGCAGAUGUGCCCUAAGCGCCAGAGAAAGCGAAAGGCCACAGCAGCUUCCUGACAAAGAAGGUAAGAGUGACAAGAUUCGCAAUGGCUGCGGCGUCUCUUUCCACACCACCCUGGUGUGCUGAGAUACACUGUUUCCUCUGUAGUAUCUGUUUCCAUGUGCAGGCUAUUCCCUUUUGGUAACUCAUGGAAUCCUUCCAGCAGAAGGUUAGGAAACUCGGUAUAAUGGUAGCUGCGAGCGUGCCACUGUGGGGUCCCUAGGCUCCCUGCUGCCCAACAUGCUUGACUCCACUCAGUCCACAGUGUGAAUUAUUCCGCAGACAGGGCUUAAUCUCCCUAGGUUUGAGUAGCACCUACAGAUUACAAAAAAAAAAAAAAAAAAAAAGAUAA